CUGUAUAUAUGUGUGUAACAGACCCCCAUCCCCCUCAAAGCCAAACCCCCCCAGCCCUCCUUCAUCUCUAAUCUUCAGAGACCCCAAACAACCUAACCAAACCCUAGCCGCCACCCCGUCCCUUUUCCGUGAACCCGACGGCAACCACUCUGGUGACCACCAAAAUAACACCCCUGAACCACCAAACCACUCGCUUUCCAAAUCCAUUUCCCUCUUCCUUUGAAUCAAUCCCGAGCUUCUCGAAUAUUAGAUCAAAUAAUCGACCAAAACCCUAGUUCAUCCAAGUCGACCCCAAAUCAGCACUCUACAACUCCCUCUCCAUCCUAUGCUCUAAUCCUUAACCAAAACCCUUUGAAUGCAUGGAAAAUCUAUCGAAUCGGGAUUUCAAUGUAGCGGGCCAAAGUUAUCUCAGGGUUAAGGUAAAAACGGACCUUAGUUGUUUGCUCUCAUUCGAUAGAACUCGACUAGGGUCGGUUUUGGCCGAAAAUCCAAAAGGUUGAAGGUUACAAUCUCACUCGCUAGUAAAUGGUAGGUUUUCUGUGUCUUCUUUUCUUUUCCUUAUCUUUCCUAUUUCUUUUCAUCUUAAUUCUAUCUGUUAAGUGCAUAGUCUACUCUGUUCAUGUUUUUAGAACUGAUUGUUUGGAUUUUCUCUUAUCCCUUCUAUCAAACAUCUCGAAUUAGUCUGUUGUCCAUAGGUCGUUUUUGUAAACCCGAAACAACUUCCCAGUUGUUUCAUACUACUUUUAAUAUAAUUAAGUUUAAUUUGUAUUAUUUGAUGUUUGAGCCCCUGUAAAACCCAUUGUUGAGUCUUAGUCAAUAAAUAAUUACUGUUUCCCGGAAUUCUCAGUUCAUUGUUUUCUUUUGGUUGUUUCUAUGAAUGUUGCAGAUUGUGAGAAAUAGAUUCAUUUUCCUUUAACCUGGUUUUACUUUAAAUUCAGCUUCAUUGAUCCAUUGAUUAAUUAGGAAUCAGUUUAGCUGAUUUUGAUAAGUUGAAUUGGUUAUAGCUGAGGUGGUUUGGUACAGAUUAAAGGGGUUUAAGGUAGGACAAUAGUUUCAGGUGUUUCAGGGGGUAUUUUUGGAUUUAAAAGUUUAAUAAUGGUUUAACUGAGUUGCUUGAGAGUAAGUUACUAAGGUAACCAUUAAACUAGUAUAUUGUCUAAUAAUGGUGGGAUGGGAAUUAGGAAUAGUAUGGGAGGUCUAAUGGGAAGUAAUUAAACAAAUAUGUGUCCAUAACAAUUGAAUUAAGAAUGGAAUGGAACAUAUAGUAGGAGGGGACAGGUGAAUUCAAAACAGAACAAAAAAUGUUGGGAUGGGGUUUUAGAGAAUAUCAUGGGCUGGAAUAUAUUCCUAAUAGUUUAAGUGCUUGAGAGUUGUAGUAAAGGGUCUUUUUUGGGUAUAAAUGGAGAGCGGGUGAGAUAAAGAAAAGGGUCCUGCUUUUGAAAAUCAAUUUUAAGGAGAAAGAAAGCUAGGUAUUCAUAUUUUCUGAGAGAUAUUAGACAUGGUACUUGGUCAGACUUUAAAUGAGGGAGAUAAAAGUAAGGAUUGAGUUUUGAGAGUUAAAUAUUUCUUAGGAGUUCUUAGGCAGACUGAUAGAGCUGCUUGGGGUUCUGGGACAGCUUUGAAAAUCAGUUCCUAAGAGCUGUCCACCUGAGUUCUUAAACUGUUUGAGAGAGAAUUUGCGAGACUAUUAAAAGCUUAAAAACAAAGGUGAAGUGUUGAAAGCCUCACUGUUCCAUUGAAGAUUUGGUCCAAGUUUUGUUUAAUUCUAGUUCAGUUGAGUCUUUUGGGUGUCGGCUAUUGCUGUUGGUUUUUACAAAUCAUGGCGUACUUGGUUUGAGUGUGUUUCUAGUUGGGAAUUGGCGUUAAUGUUUGGUUUAAAUCUGACUGUAUGUUUCUGUAAUAUGUGGUGCUGUUAUAUUGCUGCUAUUGACUUCUUCUUGUUCUUCUGUUCCACUUAAAAUCCAGGUACACAUUUUGAACCUGAUGCAAUGUAGCACCAUCAGUGGACAAUGAUAUAAGAUUGAAUUAUGAGUUUAUGUAGCUUUCUAAAUAUUUGUGUAAUUCUAUAUUAGUGUGGUACUGUACUGAUUAGAAUCUAAAGUGUUAAUGUAGUUGGACUGUACUCAUGAAUAAUAACAGAAAGCUCGUGUAAUUAGGUUUGUUUUCAAGUAUAUCUGAACUGUUUUUAACUCUAUUUAUGAACUCAUGAAGUUCUCAGUAGGCCGCUUUAAUAUGGCUCAGUUGUGCUACUGAUAUAGUGUAGUGUAAUCUAAUCCGUUUUUUUAGUAAUAAUAGAGAAACAAGUUGAAAUAUUUUUUAUAAC
rnacentral:lncRNA from 1 species